CGGCCAUAUAGCGCUGAAUCACCGGUUCCCGUACGAUCUGCGAAGUUAAGCAACGUUGAGCCUGGUCAAUACCUAGAUGGGUGACCGCUUGGGAAUACUGGAUGCUGUAAG